CCCAGCUUGUCAUGCUAGAGGACUUUUUCAAUGGGCUCCCCAACGAUAAGGCGAUGACGCAUUCGUAUGUCAUCCAUAUCAACUUUCGAUGCCACUUUCUGCACCUACCACGGUGACCACGUGUAACGGGGAAUCCAGGUUUGAUUCCGGAGAGGGAGCCUGAGAAAAGGCUACCACAUGCAAGGAAGGCAGCAGGCGCGCAAAUGACUCACGCCUGAUGCGGGACGGUAGUGAUG